AGCUUGGCACUGAACAUUGACCCUACAUGUGUAGGAUAGGUGGGAGACUUUGAAGCGUUGUCGCCAGAUGACGUGGAGUCUACCUUGAAAUACCACCCUUGUAGGUUUGAUGUUCUAACAUUGGUCCCUUAUCGGGAUUGUGGACAGUGUCUGGUGGGUAGUUUGACUGGGGCGGUCUCCUCCUAAAGAGUAACGGAGGAGUACGAAGGUGCGCUCAGACCGGUCGGAAAUCGGUCGUAGAGUAUAAAGGCAAAAGCGCGCUUAACUGCGAGACCCACAAGUCGAGCAGGUACGAAAGUAGGUCUUAGUGAUCCGGUGGUUCUGUAUGGAAGGGCCAUCGCUCAACGGAUCAAAGGUACUCUGGGGA
rnacentral:rRNA from 1 species